CAAUCUGAGAGUUUGAUCCUGGCUCAGAACGAACGCUGGCGGCAGGCCUAACACAUGCAAGUCGAACGCCCCGCAAGGGGAGUGGCAGACGGGUGAGUAACGCGUGGGAACCUUCCCAGUGGUACGGAAUAGCCCAGGGAAACUUGGAGUAAUACCGUAUAAUACCCGAAAGGGGAAAGAUUUAUCGCCAUUGGAUGGGCCCGCGUAGGAUUAGCUAGUUGGUGAGGUAAUGGCUCACCAAGGCGACGAUCCUUAGCUGGUCUGA
rnacentral:rRNA from 1 species